GCUCGCUCUGGCAACACAUACACUAAAAUUGGAAUGAAAAUGGCUUUAUUAGCAAGGUCCCUGCACAAGGAUGACAGGAACAUCCACAAGGCAGUCUAUAUUUUU